AUUGAACGCUGGCGGCAUGCUUUACACAUGCAAGUCGAACGGUAACAGGCCGCAAGGUGCUGACGAGUGGCGAACGGGUGAGUAAUGCAUCGGAACGUGCCCAGUCGUGGGGGAUAACUACUCGAAAGAGUAGCUAAUACCGCAUACGAUCUAUGGAUGAAAGCGGGGGACCGUAAGGCCUCGCGCGAUUGGAUCGGCCGAUGUCAGAUUAGGUAGUUGGUGGGGUAAAGGCUCACCAAGCCAACGAUCUGUAGCUGGUCUGAGAGGACGACCAGCCACACGGGGAGUGAGACACGGCCCAGACGCCUACGGGAGGCAGCAGUGGGGAAUUUUGGACAAUGGGCGCAAGCCUGAUCCAGCAAUGCCGCGUGCAGGAAGAAGGCCUUCGGGUUGUAAACUGCUUUUGUACGGAACGAAACGGCUCUGGUUAAUACCCGGGGCUAAUGACGGUACCGUAAGAAUAAGCACCGGCUAACUACGUG
rnacentral:rRNA from 1 species